AACGAACGCUGGCGGCAGGCUUAACACAUGCAAGUCGAACGGUUGUAGCAAUACAGCAGUGGCGCACGGGUGAGUAACACGUGGGAAUAUCCCUAGCAGUACGGAAUAACGUCGGGAAACUGACGCUAAUACCGUAUACACCUCCGGGUGAAAGAUUUAUCGCUGAAAGAUUAGCCCGCGUCAGAUUAGCUAGUUGGUGGGGUAACGGCCUACCAAGGCUCCGAUCUGUAGCUGGUCUUAGAGGACGAUCAGCCACACUGGAACUGAGACACGGUCCAGGCUCCUACGGGAGGCAGCAGUGGGGAAUAUUGGACAAUGGGGGAAACCCUGAUCCAGCCAUGCCGCGUGAGUGAUGAAGGCCUUCGGGUUGUAAAGCUCUUUUGUCAGGGAAGAUGAUGACUGUACCUGAAGAAUAAGCCCCGGCUAACUUCGUGCCAGCCGCCGCCGUAAUAC
rnacentral:rRNA from 1 species